GCAGCCGUAGCUCAGUUGGUUAGAGCACCAGAUUGUGGAUCUGGGGGUCGGUGGUUCGAGCCCACUCGGCUGUA
rnacentral:tRNA from 3 species